CGCGUAGGCGGGCGACCAAGUCUAGGGUGAAAUCUUUCGGCUUAACCGGAAAAUAGCCUUGGAUACUGGUGGUCUCGAGGGAGGUAGGGGCCGUUGGAACUUCCGGUGGAGCGGUGAAAUGCGUUGAUAUCGGAAGGAACGCCGGUGGCGAAAGCGAACGGCUGGACCUCUUCUGACGCUGAGGCGCGAAAGCCAGGGGAGCAAACG
rnacentral:rRNA from 1 species